rnacentral:lncRNA from 10 species
GUUCACAGUAGGGUUCACGCUGCUAUGAGAAUCAAAUGUCCCGCUGAUCCGACAGGAGGUGAAGCUCAGGCGGUAAUGGCUGGCCUGUUGCUCACCUCCUGCUGUGCGGCCAGGCUCGCCACAGACCUAUAGGAUCUGCCGCCCGGGGCUGGGGACGCCUGCUCUAGAGCACUAGCCUGCAAACUUUUUAUUUAAUGGCUGCAGCUCCAGCAUCCAUCUUGGAUUAUGAGGUAAUCUUGAGAAUGGAAGCCAAGCCCUUGGAGCUGCCAGACAACAGAUAGCUAGUCCAUUU